rnacentral:rRNA from 1 species
UACGUAGGAUCCAAGCGUUAUCCGGAAUUACUGGGCGUAAAGCGUACGUAGGUGGAGAUUUAAGUGAGAUGCGAAAUCUGGCGGCUCAACCGUCUAGACUGUGUCUCAUACUGGGUUUCUUGAGGUUGGCAGAGGCAAGUGGAAUUUCCGGUGUAGCAGUGGAAUGCGUAGAGAUCGGAAGGAACACCAAUGGCGAAGGCAGCUUGCUGGGCCACACCUGACACUGAGGUACGAAAGCGUGGGGAGCGAACAGG